rnacentral:rRNA from 1 species
GUGGGGAAUAUUGCACAAUGGGGGAAACCCUGAUGCAGCGACGCCGCGUGAGUGAAGAAGUAUUUCGGUAUGUAAAGCUCUAUCAGCAGGGAAGAUAAUGACGGUACCUGACUAAGAAGCCCCGGCUAACUACGUGCCAGCAGCCGCGGUAAUACGUAGGGGGCAAGCGUUAUCCGGAUUUACUGGGUGUAAAGGGUGCGUAGGUGGCAAGGCAAGUCAGAUGUGAAAGCCCGGGGCUCAACCCCGGUACUGCAUUUGAAACUGUCUAGCUAGAGUGCAGGAGAGGUAGGCGGAAUUCCUAGUGUAGCGGUGAAAUGCGUAGAUAUUAGGAGGAACACCAGUGGCGAAGGCGGCUUACUGGACUGUAACUGACACUGAGGCACGAAAGCGUGGGGAGCAAACAGGAUUAGAUACCCGAGUAGUCC